CCCCCUCCCCAGGACAAGCAGCCGUGCAGCCGCGCACAGAGAGCAUCAUCAUAUUAGCUGUGAUGGAUUCAUGGGGAUAUCUACAUAUUGGUCCCUUGAUUUGCUUCAUUUCCUCUCUAUGGUUUCCUACAGAGCUACGCAGGCUACUUGAAGAGUCCUUAGUGUUAGGCUUUUAGACAUGGUGCAAAGGUCCGGAUUGGCAGAUCAGAUCUCUCUCCAUGCUAAACGGUUGCGUUAUCUAAAAGGGGUCAGUUAAAGAUGUUUAUUAAUAACAUUCCCAGAGAGAAGAAAAUAAUAAAAAGAAGAAUGAUUUGUUUUCGACCAACCAGAUGUCGGGCUACUGUGUAUAGGGGAGACGGAGUAGUAGAGGUUAGUGGCGUUAGAACCAGAAGGUUUCUAUAAUGAGAUGGAGCUACAGAUAAAAAACGGAAGGAAGAGGGAGAGGAAGAGGGAGAGGAAGAGGGAGAGGAAGAGGGAGAGGGAGAGGAAGAGGGAGCGAGAUUGUGACGACAUUGAAACGAUACGUGAUUCAAGGGGAGAGAGAGAGAGAGAGAGAGAGAGAGAGAGAGAGAGAGAGAGAGGAGAGAGACAGAGAUUAGGGUAUACAGUAUAGAGAUUGAGAUUGAGGCAUGUGUAGAAAAGAGGGGGUGUGUGUGGUACGCACUGCGGCCAGCCCUCUCCAGUGGACACAGUGAAGAGGGUGAGCAGGGCCCAAGGCACGUUGUCGUAGUGGAAAUCGUACUUCUUCCACUCCCGCUUCUCAGCUUUUACUUCAUUCCGUUCGUACACCAAAAACUCUCCCCUGAGAUACACACAGAAACACAAGGAGUUAGCAGACAGCAUGUCUGUGUGUGUGAGAGAGAAAGAGAGAGACAGAGGGGGAGAGAGAGACAGAGACAGAGGGGGAGAGAGAGACAGAGACAGAGAAAGUGAAAGCAAAAGAGAGACAGACAGAGACAGAGAAGAGAGAGAGAGAGAGAGAGAGAGAGAGAGAGAGAGAGAGAGAAAAUGGUAGACACAGCAAAACCU
rnacentral:lncRNA from 1 species